rnacentral:rRNA from 1 species
UGGGGAAUAUUGGGCAAUGGGGGCAACCCUGACCCAGCGACGCCGCGUGGGGGAAGACGGCCUUCGGGUUGUAAACCUCUUUUGUACGGGAAGAAGGAAGUGACGGUACUGUACGAAUAAGUCCCGGCUAACUACGUGCCAGCAGCCGCGGUAAUACGUAGGGGACGAGCGUUGUCCGGAAUUACUGGGCGUAAAGGGCGCGCAGGCUGUGCUGCAAGUCAGCUGUUAAAUGUCUGGGCUUAACCCGGGCAUGCGGUUGAGACUGCGG